rnacentral:lncRNA from 1 species
AUGACCAGUAAAAUUGUGUUUGGAGCCAUUACGUUCUUGAGCGGCUCAAGUACUAGAAGGGGACUGGAACUAGAAUGCACAAAGUCAUAUGCAAAUGAGGAUCUGCUGGAAGAACAGAAUUGCCUUGGAGGAAUGUGCUUUUUCCCUAUAGUCUCUGCACGGAGUCACAUUACAAUAAUGACUUGCUUUCUGCCUCAGAACACAUUUGCUACCACCGGGACAUGCACAAACUCAAGAUGCACAUCCCCACCCCAGGAUCUGAGGAGGAGGCCUCCUGAUGAAUUGUGACUUCAGGCUGAACCUUAAAAAUCAUUUCUACUUUAGAGGUACCUUCAUUUAAAAACCAUCACCCUGACACUCAGGAAUUAGAAUUCUCCCUCACCCUUCAUGCACAGUUUUUUUUCCUCUUUGAAGGAGAUGCUGUGCAUGCCUUUCAGGUUAAUAUGAAAGAAGCUUGAAGAUGCAAAUGAACUGAGUAACCAUGACAACAAUGAAAGGAAGAAAACAAAACAAUUAUGCCUAUGCAAAUUCUUUCCUGAACUAGCAAGGUGAGAGAGAGCAUAGCUGUCAGCAAUAAUACCCAGUGGCCAAUGACAAAUGCACAAUGAUUUAAGGCCCAUGGAGUCUGUAGAGGUAGCUAUGAUUUAGGGGAGGGCAUCUAGACCUACACACAUAUACAAGCUCUGUCCCUGAUCACAAUUUGUGUGUGUGUGUGUGUGU